rnacentral:rRNA from 1 species
GGCUCAGAACGAACGCUGGCGGCGUGUCUUAAGCAUGCAAGUCGUGCGGCAAGGGGUAGCAAUACCCCCUAGAGCGGCGGACUGGUGAGUAACGCGUGGGUGAUCUGCCCUUGGGAUGGGGAUAGCCUCUAGAAAUAGAGGGUAAUACCGAAUACGUUCGCAUCUUCAGUGGUGCGAGGAAAAGCGCUUCGGCGCUGCCCGAGGAUGAGCCCGCGUCCCAUUAGCUAGUUGGUGAGGUAAAGGCCCACCAAGGCGAUGAUGGGUAGCCGGCCUGAGAGGGUGUACGGCCACACUGGGACUGAGAUACGGCCCAGACUCCUACGGGAGGCAGCAGCUAAGAAUAUUCCGCAAUGGACGAAAGUCUGACGGAGCGACGCCGCGUGGAUGACGAAGGCCGAAAGGUUGUAAAGUCCUUUUGUUGGGGAAGAAUAAGCAUGGGAGGGAAUGCCCGUGUGAUGACAUGAACCGACGAAUAAGCCCCGGCUAACUACGUGCCAGCAGCCGCGGUAACACGUAGGGGGCAAGCGUUGUUCGGAAUUACUGGGCGUAAAGGGCAUGUAGGCGGCUCUGUAAGUCCGGCGUGGAAGCCCACGGCUUAACCGUGGGAUUGCGCUGGAAACUGCGGGGCUUGAAUCAUGGAGAGGGAGCUAGAAUUCCAGGUGUAGGGGUGAAAUCUGUAGAGAUCUGGAAGAAUACCAGUGGCGAAGGCGAGCUCCUGGCCAAUGAUUGACGCUGAGGUGCGAAAGUGUGGGGAUCAAACAGGAUUAGAUACCCUGGUAGUCCACACUGUAAACGAUGUGCACUAGGUGCUGGGGCGGAUGCUUCAGUGCCGGAGCUAACGCGGUAAGUGCACCGCCUGGGGAGUAUGCUCGCAAGGGUGAAA